UACGUAGGGGGCUAGCGUUGUCCGGAAUCAUUGGGCGUAAAGAGCGUGUAGGCGGCCAGGUAGGUCUGCUGUGAAAACUCGAGGCUCAACCUCGAGAUGUCGGCGGAAACCAUCUGGCUAGAGUCCGGAAGAGGAAAGUGGAAUUCCUGGUGUAGCGGUGAAAUGCGCAGAUAUCGGGAAGAACACCCGUGGCGAAGGCAGCUCGCUGGGACGUGACUGACGCUGAGACGCGAAAGCGUGGGGAGCAAACAGG
rnacentral:rRNA from 1 species